rnacentral:rRNA from 1 species
CUGACGUUAGCGGCGGACGGGUGAGUAACACGUGGGUGACCUACCUAUAAGACUGGGAUAACUCCGGGAAACCGGGGCUAAUACCGGAUAACACAUGAAACCGCAUGGUUUCAUGAUGAAAGACGGUUUUGAUGUCACUUAUAGAUGGACCCGCGGCGUAUUAGCUAGUUGGUAAGGUAACGGCUUACCAAGGCAACGAUACGUAGCCGACCUGAGAGGGUGAUCGGCCACACUGGAACUGAGACACGGUCCAGACUCCUACGGGAGGCAGCG